rnacentral:rRNA from 1 species
GACGAACGCUGGCGGCGUGCUUAACACAUGCAAGUCGGACGGAAAGGCCCUGCUUUUGUGGGGUGCUCGAGUGGCGAACGGGUGAGUAACACGUGAGUAACCUGCCCUUGACUUUGGGAUAACUUCGGGAAACUGGGGCUAAUACCGGAUAGGAGCUCCUGCUGCAUGGUGGGGGUUGGAAAGUUUCGGCGGUUGGGGAUGGACUCGCGGCUUAUCAGCUUGUUGGUGGGGUAGUGGCUUACCAAGGCUUUGACGGGUAGCCGGCCUGAGAGGGUGACCGGCCACAUUGGGACUGAGAUACGGCCCAGACUCCUACGGGGGGCAGCAGUGGGGAAUAUUGCACAAUGGGCGGAAGCCUGAUGCAGCAACGCCGCGUGCGGGAUGACGGCCUUCGGGUUGUAAACCGCUUUCGCCUGUGACGAAGCGUGAGUGACGGUAAUGGGUAAAGAAGCACCGGCUAACUACGUG